UAGCCUGGUAGCAAUACUAGGUUGAGCCAGUGGCGAACGGGUGCGUAACACGUGAGUCAUCUGCCUGAAAGUGGGGGAUAGCUCGCCGAAAGGCGAAUUAAUACCGCAUGUGCCCCGAAGCAAUUCGGGGUAAAGCCGGGGCAACCUGGCGCUUUUAGAUGAGCUCGCGGCCUAUCAGCUUGUUGGUAAGGUAACGGCUUACCAAGGCUUCGACGGGUAGCUGGUCUGAGAGGACGACCAGCCACACUGGAACUGAGACACGGUCCAGACACCUACGGGUGGCAGCAGUCGAGAAUUUUUCUCAAUGGGGGAAACCCUGAAGGAGCGACGCCGCGUGGAGGAUGAAGGCUUUCGGGUUGUAAACUCCUGUCAUUUGGGAACAAUACCUUACGUUAACUGCGUGGAGGUUCGAUAGUACCAGAAGAGGAAGAGACGGCUAACUCUGUGCCAGCAGCCGCGGUAAUACAGAGGCCUCGAGCGUUGUUCGGAUUCAUUGGGCGUAAAGGGCGCGUAGGCUGCGGGGCAAGUCGGGUGUGAAAUCUCAGAGCUCAACUCUGAAACUGCACUCGAUACUGCUUUGCUAGAGGACUGGAGAGGAGAUUGGAAUUCACGGUGUAGCA
rnacentral:rRNA from 1 species